rnacentral:lncRNA from 1 species
UAAAGAAUGAAAAAUAAUAAUAAUAUAAUAUAAUAAUUAAUAUUAAAAACACUCGAAAUCUUUUCUUUCAAAAUAUAAUCAUUAAUCAUUCUGAUUUGAUAAUAGAAUAUCUAAAUUGCAUUUAUUUCAAUUUAUUUCAUAAACAAAGAUAUACAUAAAAAUAAAAAAAUAAAAAAAAUAUGAAAUUUCUAUACUACCAUUAAUAAAAAAAUUCC